AGGGUUUUAGUUAAAUAUAACAUCUGACCUGCAAUCAGAAAGUAUUGAAUAAUCAAUUUACCUUU
rnacentral:tRNA from 1 species